CCGAUGGCCGCGUCCCACCCCCACCCGCAUCCCAUCCCCACUCGCUCUGCUCUUCUCUCCCUGCCUCGUGUCGCCGCCGCGCUCCCCUCGCCUCACCGUGUUUUCCCUCCACCUUCCAUAUGCUCGCUUCAAGCCCCCUCCAUCUUCCACCGGCUCGGCGCGAGCCCCAUCGUCCGCCAAAAAAGUUUGCCUUUUUAUCCAACCGGUGAUGAAUCACCGGAUCCGGCGUCGGCGAGGCUUGAUCCGGUGGAUACGAGUCCGGAGGCGCCGGAUCCGGUGGCCGCGAGGCCGGACGUGCUGGAUCCUGCUCCCGCAACGACAUGAUCGUGGGCAGGUCCAAGGCGUCGGUGCCGGUGAUUGAGGUGGUUGCACCCACAUCAAUCGAGAGAGCGCUCCGCCACGCUGUGAUCGUCGUCCGCGAGUGGCGCCUCUGGCGCAAGUUCCGGGAGCUCUGCAUGCGCUACUUCCCCACGCUGCUCGACAUGGCUGACCCCGCCGGCUGCGCACGCAAGUUCGCACCAGACUAUCUUGGCCCGCUCAUGGCUCUCGCCGACACCAUCAUCUUCAAAGAUUGAUCCAUGCGGGGGCCUGCUGCACCAUAGCUACACGCGCGAGUAAGAUUAUUAUUGCUUCUUGGUUAUGCCCCCGCAGCUCCUCCUUGUACUCCACCAUCUCCGUCAUUUUCUCAAAUUCCUGCAGCACAAUUUCACAAAAACGAGUUAGAUUGAUGCUGGAGUUUCCUUGACAAAGGCCCAGACUCUGAUCUUUCCAUCAAAAAUUACUUCGCCAUCAGCAUUGAACCUUGGCAUGGCCACUGCGCAACUUUGCCUAUGCUAUUUUUGUUUUGAACACUGCGCUCAGGACCAGCUUCUUCAGGCAGUAGGUACAACUGAAGCAAAAUGAUGAAAAAAUCAGUAGGUGUAAAAUGAUGAGUAGCUGCAAAAUGACUAGGUGCUGGAGUUCAGCUAUCUCCAAGCAUGUGUACAGCAAAAUGACUAGGUGCUGCAAAAUGGAGCAGCAAGUAGAGUUGAAAGAUGACUGAUGUGGUGCAGGAGUACCUGAUGCUGAUCUGGAGGAGGAUGAUGAUCCGGAGGCAGAGGAGGAAGAUGAUGAUCCGGAGGUGGAAGAAGAUCCGGAAGUGGAGGAGGAAGAUGAUGAUCCGGAGGUGGAAGAAGAUGAUCCAGAGGUGGACGAGGAAGAACUUGAUGCCUCCAUCAUUGGUGGAGGACGAGCUGGCCGGAGUAGGCGCUGGCGUGGAGGAGGCGCUGGCAUGGAGGAGCUGGCGGGAGCCGCGGAGGAAAUCUUGGCCGGAGGAGGGGCCAUGAAGUAGUCUGGAGGAACUAGCUCGAAGAACUGGCCGGAGGAGGAGGAACUGGCUGGAGGAGGGAGAAGGAACUGCGGAGGAGCUCGCGAUCUGGCUAGAGGAGACGCCGGCUAGGAUCCGGAGCUGGUACCUCCUCCAGCCAUGGCUGGAACAGAUUGUUCCGGCCAGGACAGCGAGCUGAUCAGCUACGUGGGGAGGAAGAAGACAUCACGGGAGCUGCGCGGAGGUGCUGCGUGAAGCUGCUGAUCAUGGGAGCUGGCUGGAUGGAGCGCGGAGGCGAACGAGCUAGGCGAUCCGCGAGCUGCACGAUCGAUCAGAUCGCGAGCGGGAAGGCCGAAGGCGAGCGAGUUGGGCGAUCAGAUCGCGAGGGCGGAGGGCCGGAGGCAAGCGAGCUGGGCGAGCGAUCCGCGAGCUACGCGAUCGAUCAGAUUGCGAGCUAGGUGGUGGAGCUCUUUUUGAAAUUUGAAUUCCCGAUCGGGAGGGGUUGUGCUUCUUUUCAUUAGUUUAGAAGGGGUUAAUUGUAAAAAUUAAUUAGACUGUGCCAUCAGACACUUUUUUCGGACCGGAGGGAGUACUAUAUUCUUAUAGCUCACUAUUGUAUAUGUUGGCUCUAAAUUGGUUAUAGAUGAUAUGGCACUUGGCUUAUACGUA